rnacentral:rRNA from 1 species
AGCCACUAGUAUUUAUUGGUGGUUUAACCUGCCCAAUGUACGAACAAUUAUAAUUAAUGGCCGCGGUACUUUGACCGUGCUAAGGUAGCGUAAUCAGUUGGCUUUUAAAUGGAGUCAGGAAUGAAUGGGAUAACCGGGCUUAGCUGUCUCUUAGUUAAUAUAUUGAAUUUACUGUUCAAGUGAAAAAGCUUGAUGUUAAAAAAGGGACGAGAAGACCCUUAGAAUUUUAUUUAAUUAGAAGAAUUAAGAAAAAUUUCUUCUUAUAAUUUUGUUGGGGCGACAGAGAAAUAAUUUUCAACUUUCUUUUUUAAAACUAGCCGAAUAUUUUAAGUGAGAAUAAAUUACCUGAGGGAUAACAGCAUAAUUCUUUAUUAGAGUUUGUGACCUCGAUGUUGGACUAGGAAACUAGUAGAUUAGCCAUUUACUGUGUUGGUUCUGUUCGAACUAUAAUUCCUA